UUAUCUUCAUUCCACCAAGUCUCUGUGAUGCCUAUUAUAUCAAUAUCCUCACUUAAUAUCAGACACUCAAAUUCACCCAUGUUAGUACUUAGAGUUCUUGCAUUUGUAUACAAGGACUUAUAAAAUUUGUCCAUAUUUAGUUGUUUCCUGCAUAUGAUGGAACUGAAU